rnacentral:rRNA from 1 species
AUUGAACGCUGGCGGCAGGCCUAACACAUGCAAGUCGAGCGGAGCGGCGGACGGGUGAGUAAUGCCUAGGAAUCUGCCGGGUAGUGUGGGAUAACGUCCGGAAACGGGCGCUAAUACCGCAUACUAUCAGAUGAGCCUAGGUCGGAUUAGCUAGUUGGUGGGGUAAAGGCCUACCACGGCGACGAUCCGUAACUGGUCUGAGAGGAUGAUCAGUCACACUGAGGCUGAGACAUGGUACGGACUCCUAGCAGAGGCAGCGGUGGGGAAUAUUGGACAAUGGGCGAGAGCCUGAUCCUGCCAUGCCGCGUGUGUGAAGAAGGUCGUCGGAUUGUCAAGCUCUUUGACUUGGGGGGCGUUACUAACAGAAUAAGCGCCGGCUGACUUCGAGACAGCAGCCGCGGUAAUUC